rnacentral:rRNA from 1 species
UACGAAGGGGGCUAGCGUUGCUCGGAAUCACUGGGCGUAAAGCGCACGUAAGCGGCUUUUUAAGUCAGAGGUGAAAUCCUGGAGCUCAACUCCAGAACUGCCUUUGAUACUGGAGAGCUUGAGUCCGGGAGAGGUGAGUGGAACUGCGAGUGUAGAGGUGAAAUUCGUAGAUAUUCGCAAGAACACCAGUGGCGAAGGCGGCUCACUGGCCCGGUACUGACGCUGAGGUGCGAAAGCGUGGGGAGCAAAC